CCUGAAUUCCUCUGCUGCUCUUUCAGUGGUAAUGAACUGAAGAGAUUGAAUGAGACUUCAUUCAGAGAAAUGAUCAGGAUCUAGAACAUAAUGUUUCCUAGCGGAGUUUAUGAAAGGAAGCUUCACUCUCAUACUCAUUUCAGGUGGGAGGAUAAAACUGGAAGAUCCUGUUGUGCGUUUUCAGUAAUGACAGGACUGUGUAUUGACACAAUGACAGCUGGAAUGUUUGAUACAUAAUUCAGGGAAGUGUUUCACUUGAGGAUCAGAACGAAAACACCAAUGAAAGAAGAAGCUUCCCUCUCAUACUCAUGUCAGGAUGAGGACAUUGCUGGAAACUCUGCAUUCUUGACGUACUUGACAGUGACGAUAAACUAGACAGUGUGUUGAGCUGUGUGAGAGUUGAGAGUCAGAAAAUGUUUAAAUAUGUGACUCUAUAAGAACUGUGGCGAGAUGUGUCAAGAAAUAUCUGCAAACUACAGUAUGUGAAAUGUUUUAGACACUUUUUUCACACUUGUGAAAAAUUCUGUAAAGUAAAAAACAUGAAUUUAUUUUUUUUAACAAUUAACCUCUGUUAAAUAAAUCAAAUCAAUAUUGACCACCCUUUUCCUUUAAAACAGCUUUUGUCAUAGUUUUUCUUUG